rnacentral:misc_RNA from 1 species
CUAAGAAGAAACAACAGAACCAAGCACAGCACAGCACACAACACGAGCAACAGUGUCCUUCUCUCAGGAAGUUUGUACAGACGCCCACUCCCAUAACACGCAUAUUGAAUACGCAACCAGAGCACGCACACGCAUAUAUAUAUAUAUAUAUAUAACUGUAAGGCAAAUAUAUCGCACGCUCACGCACUAGCACGUACUGUGCCGCGAACGAAAGCCAAACAACAACAAAAAGGAAGCAGCCUGCGGAGCACAAGCUCAAAACAAAGCCGACGAUGCGAGCAUCUGUCAUGCUAUGUGCCGCCUUGGGCGGUUUUCUCUUCGGCUAUGACACGGGCGUCAUCAAUGCUGCCCUGUUCCAGAUGAAGGACCACUUCGGCUUCAGCGAGCAUUCGUGGCAGUACGCCCUCAUCGUCGCCAUUGCCAUCGCUGGUGCCUUCGUUGGCGCCUUUAUUUCUGGCUUCAUCUCUGCCGCCUUUGGUCGCCGUCCAUGCAUCGCCGUGGCGGACGCCCUGUUCGUUAUCGGCUCUGUGCUUAUGGGCGCUGCCCCAAAUGUGGAAGUGGUGCUCGUGUCGCGCGUCAUCGUCGGCUUGGCUAUCGGUAUCAGCUCUGCCACCAUUCCAGUGUACCUGGCGGAAGUAACAUCGCCGAAGCACCGUGGCGCCACCAUCGUUCUCAACAACCUGUUUCUGACAGGUGGCCAGUUUGUUGCGGCCGGUUUCACCGCGAUCAUGGUCGUCUUCACGAGCAAGAACAUCGGUUGGCGUGUGGCGAUCGGCAUAGGUGCGCUGCCGGCUGUCGUUCAGGCGUUCUGCCUCCUCUUUUUCCUGCCGGAGAGCCCACGCUGGCUUCUCUCGAAGGGCCACGCGGACCGCGCCAAGGCGGUAGCGGACAAGUUCGAGGUGGACCUCUGCGAGUUCCAGGAGGGCGAUGAGCUGCCGUCCGUCAGCAUCGACUAUCGCCCGCUGAUGGCGCGCGACAUGCGCUUCCGCGUGGUGCUCAGCUCUGGGCUGCAGAUCAUUCAGCAGUUUUCGGGUAUCAACACCAUCAUGUACUACAGCUCUGUGAUCCUGUACGACGCCGGCUUCCGAGACGCCAUCAUGCCAGUCGUUCUGUCCAUCCCGCUCGCCUUCAUGAAUGCCCUCUUCACGGCGGUAGCCAUCUUCACGGUCGACCGCUUUGGUCGCCGCCGCAUGCUGCUCAUCUCUGUCUUUGGCUGCCUUGUGCUGCUGGUGGUGAUUGCCAUAAUUGGCUUCUUCAUCGGCACGCGCAUCUCGUACUCCGUUGGUGGCGGGCUUUUCUUGGCGCUGCUCGCCGUCUUUCUCGCCUUGUACGCGCCUGGCAUUGGCUGCAUCCCGUGGGUGAUCAUGGGCGAGAUCUUUCCUACGCACCUGCGGACGUCGGCGGCAUCCGUCGCGACCAUGGCCAACUGGGGGGCCAACGUACUCGUGUCGCAGGUGUUUCCGAUCCUGAUGGGCGCCAUCGGCGUCGGCGGCACCUUCACGAUCAUCUCCGGUCUCAUGGCCCUCGGCUGCAUAUUUGUCUACUUCUUCGCCGUGGAGACGAAGGGGCUCACGCUGGAGCAGAUCGACAACAUGUUCCGCAAGCGCGCCGGCCUGCCGCCGCGCUUCCACGAGGAAGGCGAGAGCGGCGAAAGCGGUGCCGGUUACCGCGAAGACGGCGACCUCGGCCGCCUGGCGACGGAGGAUGUCUGUGACCUGUCCUCGUUGGGCAACCGGGUUGUGUCCUUUGCCAAAGCGGAGGACGCCUUCACGGAGGUGGCAAUGCCCGAUCGCCACGCCGUGUCCAACAAGUUUGAAGAGAGAGCGACGAGCUCUUCCUCAGAUCCCCAGUCGCUCGAAAACCAGGACGAGGUGCGGCAAGCAGCCAUCAAAGCAGCUCCGCACGAGCCCAAGUAGAGACCGUAAACCCCACUCCCUCCCUCCCUCCCUACAACUGCAUCUUCCCUACCGACUCCAUAUAAAGUCCAUGCACGCCUAUAUGCGAGUCGCUGAGGUGGCGAGAUGAGCGGACGGAGGAGGAACAGAGAAUAAAAGGGAAAAGGCUUCUGGCACAUGUAGUCUGGCGCACCUGUGCAGCACGCAUCAGAACGAAAAAAGAAAGACAGCCCGCGCCGCUCGGGGAUGAUCUGGUGCGCACCUCUUCCUCUAUCCAUUGUGUUCGCGUGUAUGUUUCUGUGCCUUGUACGUCUCCUGGGGGAGUCAUCGAGACUUUGGCCCAGCUCUCUGUCUACGCUUCAAAGGAUGUGUUGUCUUCAUCCAGCUCGUAUGCACGUGUAUGAGAAUGUUUUCUUUUUUUCUCUUCCAGCCUGCAUGCGAGUCUGAGGUGCCUGCGUGCGUGCACUCUUUACUUCGCCAAAAACACAUCUGUGAAGCUUCUCGUGCCCCUUUGGGUAUGUUUGUACGCUCUAUUUUUCAUCUGGAUGUCUUCGCGUGUUUAUAUCUGUGUGCGUGUGCGCGUGAAACGGUACGUCCAACACAUGGGGGCUCUCUUGCUUGCGUUUAUAUAUAUGUACAUGCAUGUAUGUAUGUAUGUGUGUGUGUGUGUGUCUGUCUAUUUCUAUGACUGUUUCCAUCAUUCCGUGCUGCUGUCCCUCUGCCUCUAUCCUCUCUACAUAUAUAUGUGUAUAUAUGCAUAUAUAUGUAGGUAGGCAGAUAUUGAUCUAUUUAUUUCUAUCUUCAGUCGCGGUUCCAGUACUUCUAUUUUCCUCUACUCUAUUUUUAAAAAGAGAAGCGCGUUUUUUUUUUACCUCCCCUUCCCUCUCCCUCUCGGUUUUCAUCUCUGCCCCCCCCGCCCCCCUCCUCACAUCAACACCCGCGGUGCUGCCGACUCGCCUCCCUUGCUUUGUUGUUGCUCUCUAUCUCCUUCAUUUGCAUCACACACACAUACACACACACCGGUGCAUUCAGGUAUGUAUGUGUAUGCGUAUGUGUGUGCGUGUGUGUAACUGAGCCUGUGUGAGCCUCUAUUUAUGUGGAUGCGUGAUGAGAUGCAGGCCGAUGAGGCAGCGAAGCGAGAGACAGAGAAACUAUAGGCAGUUGAGGAUUUCCGCCCCCUUUCCCUCACUCCCCAUCCCCCACCACCCGAUACACACACACACACACAACACACAUACAUACGCGAUGACGUGUUCAAUGCGCAGUUGGUUUCCGUUUUUCGGGGGCGGGGGGGCGCUUUUUUUUUGUCACGAAAGAAAAACAAAUUCUAUAUAUGUUUUACCUACUUUCCUUUGCUCUCCACCAAUCUCGCCCAUCUUCCUCCCUUCCCCUCCCUCUUCACCUGUGCGACGACCACUUCGAAGUUCAAACACGCACCUCCAUCUAUCCCUUCCCUUCCCCUUCUCCCUUCUCUUCCCCCCCCCUCUCCUCGUCCAUCUGCCUCUCCACUCCCUUUGUGAACGGAUGCGUCCUCAUCUAAAUCAAAGGGAGGGCGUUGGUCGCCAUCACCUCCCCCCCCCCUGCUCACUAUCCCUCCAUCUCUUGCCUCUUCCUCGUUUCUUCGCCGUAACUUCUUCCUUCUCCGCCCCUCACUUGACUGCGCAGGCGCGGCUGCUGCGAUGCGCGCAGGUAUGCAUGCACGUCUCUGAGAAGCGGAGAGCGGCGUGAGGAAGACAAAGAGGAGAACAGCGCAGGUGGGGGGAGCAGUGUUGUCACAGCAGCUAGGCGAGUGGCAGCGGAACGAGAAAAAGAGGGCGCAAGGGCCAGGCGGCGCGUGCGUGUUACCCUCCCACUUCUCUCCCGACCCGUCUCGCGAGAUACCCCCUUUUGUUGCCCUUCGUCCGAAAGGCGAACAGGCAAACUCGUGGGGAUAAGGAGAAAUGAAAGAAGAAACGAGCAGGAUAUGGGAGAAACGCGCAUUUGUGGCCUCGUCCCCGUCCAACCCUCACCCUCUAUCCUACACCUUCCUUCUACGUUCAUGCCAUGGCGUGUGUGAGUAUGGAUAACUUGGGAAGGGGUGCGCCGCCUCUUCUCGUGGCAUUGCUGUAGUAUUCAUUGCUCUUGAUUAGCUGUUAGAGUUGGUGCGCGCUCUCCACAUUUCCCAGGUGCUCGCUUCAUAUGGUUGUUGUCACCGCCACGUGGCGGCGCCUCCGUGUGCACGUGUUCGCGUGCGCACGCGCCUCUUCCGCUUCAAACCCUCCCUCGCCAAUUCGCCCUUUUUUGGGACGUUCUCGCCCUCCUCUCUCUCUCUCUCUCGCCGGAGAGUGGUCCCCCCCCCCUUCCGUCUAUUCGGCUCGGUGCGUCGCAUGAGUGAUCCAAGGGAUGUUGUGAAAGGGAAAAAAAAAGCAGCGAAAAAAAAGUGAAUGUCACCGCGAAGAAGAACCAAAAAGGCAUACACCAGCCCCCCUCUCUCCUCCCUCUCCAUCUGUGUGCAUGUGUGUGUGUGUGUGCCUCCGUGCCUCCUCCCUCGUCUUCAUCGUCCUCGUCGUGUCUUCAUUUCAAUUUUUGUUGUUUGUUGUUUGCUUUUCUUUCCUCUCGCCCUUCUAGGGCCGCUCAUGCUUGAGGCCCACGAAUAUGUACCGAAGAUGGUGAAGGUUGUCAGUCUACUCCCUCCUCCUUCCCUGCCUCCCCUUGUAUCGUGUGCGCGGAGCACAUCCGUGUCCGUGUUGGUCGAUCGCGCCCUUGCUCUCCCUUUCUCUCCCGUGUGCGUUCUUGUGGGAACCUCUGCACAUGGGCAAGGAGGGAGGCACAGCACUUUCCAAGAUGAUUCGAUGCGGAAAGCAGCACCUGUGCAGGAACACACACGCAGAGACCUACCACAGCGAUAGCGGAAAGGCGGGAGGAGGGAAGUAGAGACGCUUCGAUUACAACCUCCCGCCCCCUUUUUCACCUCAACCGCCCAUCUCUUAACCUCUCUGCUCACUCAACCACAACGACAAGAACUGUCGUUGACGCGCAGCAACUUAUAAAAAAAAGAAGUGCAAGAGAGAUACGCAAGCCUAACGAGAGUGAGCACAUAACGAGAGGGAGUCUGUCCCCUCCCCCUCCUCUCCCCUCCCCCACCUUCCACCUACUGCUUAGAAAAGAGAGGAGUGUGUGCCCUCUGUCACGUCUUGACGGGCUGCGUGGGUGGUACGGGGCAGACGCUCCUCUUCUCCGGUCAUCUGUUCGCCCCCCUCCUCUCCUCUCCUCUCCCAGACUUGGUUUCUCUCUUGUUCUUUGAGUGCCCCUUUUUCUUUCGUGUGUUUUUCUUUGUAUGCCUGCCUGUGUGUGGGGGGUGGGGUGUGUGUGUGUGUCUCUCUCUCUCUCUGUCAUGGGUGUUGUAAGAGGGUGGUGUACGUGCUGAAGCACAAGGAUGC